rnacentral:rRNA from 1 species
GACAUGUGGGGCAAGCGUUGUUCGGAAUCACUGGGCAUAAAGGGUGCGUAGGCGGCUUGUUAAGUCAGAGGUGAAAGUUUUCGGCCCAACCGGAAAAUGGCCUUUGAUACUGGCGAGCUGGAGUGCGUGAGGGGUGACUGGAACGAGUGGUGUAGCGGUGAAAUGCGUAGAUAUCACUCGGUAGGCCAAAGGCGAAGGCAGGUCACUGGUACGCAACUGACGCUGAGGCACGAAAGCGUGGGGAGCAAACAGG